rnacentral:rRNA from 1 species
UACGUAGGGUGCAAGCGUUAAUCGGAAUUACUGGGCGUAAAGCGUGCGCAGGCGGCUUUGCAAGACAGAUGUGAAAUCCCCGGGCUCAACCUGGGAACUGCAUUUGUGACUGCAUGGCUAGAGUACGGCAGAGGGGGAUGGAAUUCCGCGUGUAGCAGUGAAAUGCGUAGAUAUGCGGAGGAACACCGAUGGCGAAGGCAGUCCCCUGGGCCUGUACUGACGCUCAUGCACGAAAGCGUGGGGAGCAAACAGG